UGGAGAUAUCACGUUACCAGUAUAUUUUCAGCAGGAAUAUAACCUAACAAUCCAGGAAUACACUCAUUUUUGCUACUUGCGCAAAGGAGGUAGUUACAAAUGCAAAGGUCAAUGUAGUGUUGUCUGACAAGGCAGUACUGAAACAUGUAGACAGAGAGCUUGCAAGAUUAGAAAAUGAACUGAAAGAGCCGGAGUCAGCCUCCUGCACAAGUCAUGUUGAAGCUUUGAGAGAGAAGGAUGCACAAAUUAAAAAGGACAUCCAGGGAACUGCAGAAAUUAAAAGGUGGUUUUGACUGUAAUUUGGGUGACUUUCCUGCAGAUGUUCUAUCAAAUUCUUGUAGAACCCAGCGUGAGUACAUGGGUGACAAUCAGGGCCGAUUUUGUGAAGAAACCCGAAGAAAGAUGUGGAGUUCGUUUGGCAUCCGUCUAGUGCAGCAGGGCGAUAGUGCAGUAG